rnacentral:rRNA from 1 species
CCUACGGGUGGCAGCAGUCGAGAAUCAUUCACAAUGGGGGAAACCCUGAUGGUGCGACGCCGCGUGGGGGAAUGAAGGUCUUCGGAUUGUAAACCCCUGUCAUGUGGGGGCAAAUUAAAAAGAUAGUACCACAAGAGGAAGAGACGGCUAACUCGGUGCCAGCAGCCGCGGUAAUACAGAGGUCUCAAGCGUUGUUCGGAAUCACUGGGCGUAAAGCGUGCGUAGGCUGUUUCGUAAGUCGUGUGUGAAAGGCCCGGGCUCAACCCGCGGACGGCACAUGAUACUGCGAGACUAGAGUAAUGGAGGGGGAGGCGGAAUGCACGGUGUAGCAGUGAAAUGCGUAGAUAUCGAGAGGAACACUCGUGGCGAAGGCGGGUUCCUGGACAUUAACUGACGCUGAGGCACGAAGGCCAGGGGAGCGAAAGGGAUUAGAUACCCCUGUAGUC